rnacentral:tRNA from 1 species
GCCUGGGUGGCUCAGUCAGUAGAGCGUCUGACUUCAGCUCAGGUCAUGAUCUCACAGUUUGUGAGUUCAAGCCCCACGUCGGGCU